AGCGAACGCUGGCGGCAGGCCUAACACAUGCAAGUCGAACGAACCUUUCGGGGUUAGUGGCGGACGGGUGAGUAACACGUGGGAACGUGCCUUUAGGUUCGGAAUAACUCAGGGAAACUUGUGCUAAUACCGAAUGUGCCCUUCGGGGGAAAGAUUUAUCGCCUUUAGAGCGGCCCGCGUCUGAUUAGCUAGUUGGUUGAGGUAAUGGCUCACCAAGGCGACGAUCAGUAGCUGGUCUGAGAGGAUGAUCAGCCACAUUGGGACUGAGACACGGCCCAAACUCCUACGGGAGGCAGCAGUGGGGAAUCUUGCGCAAUGGGCGAAAGCCUGACGCAGCCAUGCCGCGUGAAUGAUGAAGGUCUUAGGUUUGUAAAAUUCUUUCACCGGGGACGAUAAUGACGGUACCCGGAGAAGAAGCCCCGGCUAACUUCGUG
rnacentral:rRNA from 1 species